rnacentral:tRNA from 1 species
GCGGAUGUGGUGGAAUUGGUAGACACACUGGAUUUAGGUUCCAGCGCCGCAAGGCGUGAGAGUUCGAGUCUCUCCGUCCGCACCA